UCCAAGAACCCUUAUUUUCUCUCUCAAACCCCCUUUCUAAUUGAGCCAUCAUAUAAGCUAAAUCCUAGACCCUUGACAUGAUAUUAGUUAAAGAGAAGUUGUAGCCUAAGUUUUCUUUGUGUUGUUAAGCAAGCAGCUGGAAAGAGGAACAAGAUUCUUGAAGAUUCUGAUUGCUAAAGGUAAUUUCAACAUCCUACUCAUGUUAUUAAUUUGGAUUAAAGGUUUAAUAUGGUGUAUACGUGAAGGAAACGUUGAUAUACAAGCUAGAGAGAGAGAGAGAGAGAGAGCAUAAGCCAUGGCAUUCGGCCAUGGCUAGCAAAAUUGGAGCUCAAAUUUGUUGAUCCAAAAAUCAGAUUUUCUAGGUAUUUCAGCCCUUAGGAAGGUGAUAAUAACGUGGAAAAUUCAUUUGGAGCAACAAGAACAAGUAUUAGUUCAUUUCACAAAUUCUAGCUAAGUGGAAAAGCCAACUUGUUAAGACCUUGGGGAGCCCGAGGCGUAGAUUGAGAUUUACUUUAGAUUGACUAUCUUGGAGUGCGUACGAGGUACAGACGCACAGUUUGGUGAUCCACCAGUUUAGGACACCCUCUUCUGCUGUUUGGAGUGCUCCUCUUAUUUCGGAGCCUACAUUUUGGUAUAUAUACUUGUUCGAUGCAUAUGUAUAUAUUUGUUCAGGGGUACGGCGGGACCCUGUCCCAUCAUAUGAUUCGUUUGGUCUGUUUAGAGGUCUGUAGACGUGUAUGUGGGUUGUGCCUACUUCUGUACAGUUGUGUUCGUAUGAUCCUAUUCGUUAUGGCAGCCUCGUCGGCGUGCAUUUUGUAUAUGUGUUUAUGACAGCCUUGUCAGCGUGCAUUCUGUAUGUGUUUUGGGCCGUUGUGCCAUUUGAUAGCCUUGUCGGCUUUUGAUACAUUUGACAGCCUUGCCGGCUUUUUGAUAUAUGUAUAUAUAUAUAUGAUUGCGUUUGAAAUAUGCCUAAGUCAGUUUGAUAUGAUUUGUGGCAGCGUGUGAUAUUUGUGCCCGUGUACGCUAUCUGUAUGUGAUUUGAUCUGGAUAAGUGUGUUAGGGUGCCCAA